UGAGCCCAGGCGUGCACCUAG
rnacentral:misc_RNA from 1 species